AUUGAACGCUGGCGGCAGGCCUAACACAUGCCAGUCGAGCGGAGCGGCGGACGGGUGAGUAAUGCCUAGGAAUCUGCCUGGUAGUGGUGGAUAACGUCCGGAAACGGGCGCUAAUACCGCAUACUAUCAGAUGAGCCUAGGUCGGAUUCGCUAGUUGGUGGGGUAAAGGCCUACCAAGGCGACGAUCCGGAACUGGUCUGAGAGGAUGAUCAGUAACACUGGAACUGGGACACGGGCCAGAAUCCUACGGGAGGAAGCAGUGGGGAAUAUUGGACAAUGGGCGAAAGCCGGAUCCAGCCAUGCCGCGUGUGUGAAGAAGGUCUUCGGAUUGUAAAGCAGUUUAAGUUGGGAGGCGUUACCAACAGAAUAAGCACCGGCUAACUUCGUGCCAGCAGCCGCGGUAAUUC
rnacentral:rRNA from 1 species